CGAUCUCAAAUCAGGUAGGACUACCCGCUGAACUUAAGCAUAUCAA
rnacentral:rRNA from 1 species